rnacentral:rRNA from 1 species
CCUACGGGGGGCAGCAGUGAGGAAUAUUGGUCAAUGGACGAGAGUCUGAACCAGCCAAGUAGCGUGAAGGAUGACUGCCCUAUGGGUUGUAAACUUCUUUUAUAUAGGAAUAAAAUGUUCCACGUGUGGGAUUUUGUAUGUACCAUAUGAAUAAGGAUCGGCUAACUCCGUGCCAGCAGCCGCGGUAAUACGGAGGAUCCGAGCGUUAUCCGGAUUUAUUGGGUUUAAAGGGAGCGUAGGUGGAUUGUUAAGUCAGUUGUGAAAGUUUGCGGCUCAACCGUAAAAUUGCAGUUGAAACUGGCAGUCUUGAGUACAGUAGAGGUGGGCGGAAUUCGUGGUGUAGCGGUGAAAUGCUUAGAUAUCACGAAGAACUCCGAUUGCGAAGGCAGUUCACUGGACUGCAACUGACACUGAGGCUCGAAAGUGUGGGUAUCAAACAGGAUUAGAUACCCCUGUAGUC